rnacentral:rRNA from 1 species
UACGUAGGGACCGAGCGUUGUCCGGAAUCAUUGGGCGUAAAGAGCGUGUAGGCGGCCUUUUAAGUCCUGCGUGAAAUCCUGCGGCUCAACCGCAGACGGUCGUGGGAAACUGGAAGGCUAGAGUGCGGGAGAGGAGAGUGGAAUUCCCGGUGUAGCGGUGAAAUGCGCAGAUAUCGGGAAGAACACCCGUGGCGAGGGCGGCUCUCUGGAACGCAACUGACGCUGAGACGCGAAAGCGUGGGGAGCAAACAGG